AUGCAGGUCCGUGCUAAUGUUCUGAUUUUCAUGUGAUAUAUUAUACAAGAAGAAAACCCUAGCUUGUUGAUAUUUGGUACCACAAUAUGUUCUGCUGUACAAACGGAAUACUGUGAUCAUGAAGUUUACUAUUCCAUCAGGCAUUUUAGUAUAUUCGGAAUAGCGGGAAUUUCAACCCCCGAUUUGAGUGAAAUACCGUAAAAAAUCACAUUGUCACGUGGUACAAAUU